CGCCCUAAUCCAGUCCGACCGUCCGCCGCCGCCUCCUCGCCGGCAGGGCAGCAGCCACCGCCGCGUCGUCUCCCCAACCCCGUCCUUUCCUUCCUUCUCCUCCUCCGCCUCGUCUACUGCAUCAGCAACUCGUGGAGUGGAGGAGAUGAUCUCAGCUUGCCCCAUCUGCAACGUCCAGGUCCUUACGGCGGAGCUCCAAUGGCAUGCGAACACCCACUUUGAGGAUGACCAACUCCAAACCGACUUGGAGCUGGCUCAGCAAAUCGCCCUCACUGAAUCCACGCCAAAUCCUCCCAUGGACGGUCCUCAACAAAGUGAUCCAUUCGCUAGCGACGCUCAUGCUCAAGGGGCCUCAUCAAGCGUCAGCGGAUGCUCAUCUCGUCACACAAGUGUUUUGGAUGAGCAAAUAUCUUGCUUGCUCCGAACGCAAAUUAGAAGCAAAUUACAGGAAAUACAAGGUGGUGUUAUGAACCUGCUGAGAGCCUGCCUGGAAUCAGAAGCUGGUUCAUCGACAAGUAUAAUAUCAGGACACGUUGAUCAUUAUCAGAGUCUUUCAUCAGAAGACAAGGGGUGGGGAUGUGGGUGGAGAAAUAUCCAGAUGAUGAGCUCUCAUUUGCUGAAGCAAAGACCAGAAGCAAGGGAGGCUUUGUUUGGUGGUGCUGGAUUUGUUCCUGACAUCCCUUCCCUUCAGAGGUGGCUUGAGAUUGCUUGGGAUAACAACUUUGAUACUCUAGGCUCAACCCAUUUUCAUAAUGAAGUUUAUGGUGCCAAGAAGUGGAUUGGGACUACAGAAUGUGCUGCCCUUCUCCGCUCUUUUGGUUUGCGCGCAAGGAUUGUAGAUUUUGAUAGCACAGAAUCAUCAGACCUCCACAGUAAGAAUGGUAAACAUGUACCAAAACAAGUACGAGGGCCAAUGGACAAAUUCGUGACAAAGAAUGUUUCUCCAAGAUCUUCAUCUUCUGAACUUUGUCGAGAGGAUGCAGAAAACAUGAGAGGCCAGCAGGUUCUUGUUGACUGGAUCUGGAACUACUUUGGUAGCAAGCAUUCUGAUAAGUUGGAAAAUUCAAGGCGUGUGCUUGUGAGUGAUAAAAUCCCAUUGUAUUUCCAACAUCAAGGUCAUUCCAGAACCAUAGUUGGGAUCCAAAGGCAAAAUGGUCAACAUGGGUCUCCAGACAGAUUUACGCUUUUGAUUUUAGACCCUGGCCAUAGAACAUCAGAUUUGGAGAGGGCUCUUCGAAGCAAGACAGGAUGGCAACGUCUGUUGAAAAGAGGUGUCCACACUCUCAGGAAGCCACAGUAUCAGUUGUGCUAUGUGGAUCCUGGAAUUGCUAGUUCAGAAGAAAUGGAGCAGCUCAAAAUUAUUGAUAGUAUCCUGGUCAGGUUCUAGAUUGCUGAAUGGAGGAGAUGGGGAUUACAUACACUACAUAGUGCAGACUUGGGAUGAUUUCCCUUGGAGAAAUAUGGACAGUCGAUACAUUGCUGUGCUCUCCAUUUGGUUAUAUAAUGAUUGUCUAAAUUAAUCCUUCUAAUCAAGUGGCAUGGUAAAAAUAUUAGAAAAACAGCAACAAGAGUGGAAUUUUGAUGGUGUGCCAGUAUAUGUAAGAAGUAUAAAUGCAAGAGUCAAUGAACUCUAUGAAGACAAUUCAUCGAGCAUAUGCCUUCUUGGAGACCCUCACAAGUCACAGCCAUUUCAACUGGUGUGUGACAAUUUUUGUAGUGCAUAUAAUUCGGAAAUCUGAGGUUGCUUUUAGUUACAAGAUCAGGCUCCAGUUGCAAAUCUAAAGGCGAUCGGCCCCAAUGGAUUGUCCGAAACUGGUCAGUCAUCUGAUCCUUGACAAGAUCUGUAGUUAUCGUUUCAGUUAGAAUGUAUGUCGUCUUGGGAAUAUCCUUAGCAAUAGCUCAUUUAGGUGAAACAUAAUACUUGAGCGUGAGUUGGGCCAGGCAGUAAUAUCUCCAUUUAUUCUUUCAGUCUUUUUGCAGUACGCUUACCCAAUCUCUUUUUUAACCUCUCCCCUGAGGACUCAUUUCCCCUGUGACGGUGGGAGAACAUUCAGAUCUCACCAAGAUUGGUUAAUAGAACUGCACAAUUUGUACUGACAUCUGUCAAUUUUGGCAAAAUUGAGCAUCUCAGAGUGAACUUUGUUAUUGCCAUUGUUUGUGUUGACGUUUUCUUGCCUCAGCAACUUGAUCAGUUUUCGCUGUAAUGGAUGAACACUUCAGUUAGCCGAUUUGGAAUAUUUUUUGACAGUGGCACACAGUUUAGAAUGCAGAACUG